UGAUAAGAACUGAAACCUCCAAUAAUCAGAUUGGUUUUCCUCUGCUUCCUCUAUUCUGCUUCCUCCAUUUUUCUCUCCAAUUUCUCUAUAGUUUUACAACACACGUUAUCAGCACGAUUUCUCUAUCUCUAAAUUCAGAGCAUAAACGCUCUCUCUCUUUCUCUCUCAAAAAAAUGGCACCAGCAUCGGACUCCUUCAACCAGACCUCCAACACAGUCUGUGUAAUGGAUGCAUCAGGCCACGUAGGCACCACCCUCACAGAGCGCCUGCUGCAGAGGGGUUACACAGUCCAUGCUGCCCUUCGGAGCCAUGAUGAAUCGCGGUUGGGUGAGCUUUCUUGUGACAAAAAAAAAAAGGGAAGAAGCUCAAAGUAUUCAACUUAGACCCAUUUGACUACCAGAGCAUACUUGAUGCUCUCAAAGGCUGCUCUAGCUUGUUCUAUGCAUAAGAAGCCUUCUUAUGCUUUUGAUGUUUCAGAGGUUUGAAGCACAGCCAGGCCUUGGUUCACCUCUUCAAUGGCGUUCACCAGGCUUACUUCGUCAAAAGCCAUUUAGCCCAGGACCCGCCGGCGGGAAGCUGGUCGAGCUCUUCGUCGAGGAGUCGAAGAAGGGCGAGAAGAAGAUGGAGGCCACGUCCUCGCCCAGAGCAUGUGAUCAGUGAAGGCUGGUCCAGCCCUCUCCGUGGGUUCAUGAGAGAUGCCUUAGCCAAGCACAAGCCAGACUGCUGCAGCCUUGGGCCAACAAAAGAGUUGGAGGAGAAAGAGCUCCUGGCUCUUGCUGCUAAUAAAGACAUCUCAUUUAACUACACACCUAAACCAAUUGAAACUGUGCCUACGCCUGCAAAGGAAGUGAUUGUAUCUGAAGCGGCACCAUCUCGUCUCAGCACUCGGGAAGCUUGGGGUGGAGAAAAUUUACUGGUCUGUGGGCACCCAUCAGGUCAUGACUUCCAACCCAGGCCACUACGUGAUUGGCCCAGCAGAUGUGGGAGACGAGGAGAUGGGCCAGUUUUAGGUAGGUGGAGAGGGUGGGUGAAUUCAGACCAUCCGAUUUGGUGCAUCAAACAUUUUCAGUACUGGGAACCUACCAAAAUUAUGAAUUCCAUAUGAAUAAUGGGGUUGGGGGGUAUCGCAACUUUGUUGAAUAUCCUUUUUAUUAUUGGGACGUUCAGCCUUUUGCUUGCUUGACUUGGAAAUGUGAUCAAGCUGUAAAGUUGCAAGUUUUAAGCAUUUUACGUCCAAAGUGGCUCUCAUGUCUCAAAA